GGCAGGAUGACCAGUAGAUGUUAAAUAUAUUAAAAUAUAACUUAGAUACACAAUAAGUAUACAUGACCAAAACGUUAUUUUGCUGGAAUACAAGGUUUUUCAAGGAUGAAUGUUGAAAAUUAUUUUUGUAUGUAUUUUGAAAAAUAAAAAGCUAUUAUAAAAAAUGCAGCACAACAUAGAUAAUGUUAAUUUGUGGUUUUCUAAAUCAAUAAAUAUAUGGCCAGCAACCAUCAUUUCUGAGUUUGACCCCACUGGUCUAGAUGACACCAAGUUCCUUUUCAGCUUUAAAUCUCUUAAAUUGUUUAUCUUAUGAUCCUCCCUCAAAAACACUGGCUGCUAGCCACAGGGAACCCAGCCUCAAUUCACAGGGUUUCCAGAGCAACAGUUUUUUUUUUUUUUUUUUUUUAUUUAAUAGCCUUUAAUUUACAGGAUAUAUAUAUGGGUAACUUUACAGCAUUAACAAUUGCCAAACCUCUUGUUCCAAUUUUUCACCUCUUACCCCCCCCCCCCUCCCCUAAAUGGCAGGAUGACCAGUAGAUGUUAAAUAUAUUAAAAUAUAACUUAGAUACACAAUAAGUAUACAUGACCAAAACGUUAUUUUGCUGGAAUACAAGGUUUUUCAAGGAUGAAUGUUGAAAAUUAUUUUUGUAUGUAUUUUGAAAAAUAAAAAGCUAUUAUAAAAAAUGCAGCACAACAUAGAUAAUGUUAAUUUGUGGUUUUCUAAAUCAAUAAAUAUAUGGCCAGCAACCAUCAUUUCUGAGUUUGACCCCACUGGUCUAGAUGACACCAAGUUCCUUUUCAGCUUUAAAUCUCUUAAAUUGUUUAUCUUAUGAUCCUCCCUCAAAAACACUGGCUGCUAGCCACAGGGAACCCAGCCUCAAUUCACAGGGUUUCCAGAGCAACAGUAAUCAAAAUCUCCUCACUGUCCCCUGGGGCUGCCAGCCUAGCAGGCAAGAAGUACUGCUGAAUGAAUGAGAUCAGAAAAAAGAGGGAAAGGAAGGAGGAAAAGGCAAAGGAAAAGUCAACAGACAGGAAGAAGCCAGAGGAGGGCUGGUCAAGUGGACUCUGAGGAGAAUGAGCCUGAAGGAGAGCCCUGUUUGCUUCUGGACUGUUCUACUGUGAGGAGGAGACUGAACAGGUCCAGGUUGUUGUUUGCUGAGAAGCAAAGGGUGCUUGAGGGAGAUAGAGUGGAGUUGGUACCAUAACAGAUCUUGAAAGAGAAGCUCAGGAAAGAAAGUCUCCAGUUCCUAAAGGCACGCGGAGCCCCGUCCUGCCCGGAGGGCCCAGUACCAUGAACCCCCCGGGCGCGCCGCCGGCCCCAGGAUGGGAGCUCCCGGCCGUGGUGGCCAUCGCCGCCUUCGGCCUGGUCUGUCUGCUCUACCUGCUGGCCUUCCUGUCCUCGCUGUGCUGUGGGCGCUGCGGCCCCGCGCGGCCCGCCGGGGGCCAGCUCUGCGAGGAGAGCGAGGAGGCCACCUUCCACCCCUCCUCCCCGCCCGGAGGCCCCCCGGCUCUGCCCGGCGGGGCCGCCGCUCCCCAGCAGGCGUCCUAAGGCCGCGCCGCCUCGCGGCCUCCGUAAGCCUCCGCUGCGCGCCGGACCCUUGGACUAGGCCGGGCGAGGGGGGUGCUUGGGGGCGGCCGCUGCCCUUAGGAGAGACAUUCCCAAGGGCGGAGAGGGAGCGUAAGGGGGGGGGGGGCCUGGGGCAGCGACCUGCCGGGGCUCACCCGGAGUAGGGGCCCCUAAAAGGGCGCGGCGUUAAUCAGCCGCCGUGGUGGCGAGGGAGGGGGAGAAGGAGCCGCCGUUCUGGGCCUGUUUCCCUGAGGGAAGGACCAAGGGCACUGGCUCCGAGGGGAACCCCGGAGAGGACACUUCUAGGCCUCGGGCGGAACGACGGGGAACGUGACCGGCUCCUUUUGCUCCUGGAUUUGAGCGACAGACGGCCGGGCCGCAGCGCCCACCGGAAAUAAACCCCCUUCCCCCUUCUGGCCCUGAGCCGCGGAGGCACGCGUUUCCGGAGUGGGGCCCGGCCGGAAAUUAGAGAAUAAGAGAUCUGGCCAGGAUAGCUCCAGUCAGAUUGAGCCCGCACGUGCGCCCCCCCCCCCCCGGCGUCUGACCGUCAGAAGGGCUUAUGGCAAGAGCGCCGUCUCCCCCCCGUUCUCAUCAGCGCCGCGGCCCAGCUUGGUCCUUCGCUGCCCUUCACGCGAGUUACGGCUUAGCGCCCGGAAACUCCUCAGUCCCGCACGACGCCGGCUCGCUGGUCCAAGGGCUGCAGCUUCCCCUCGGACUCACUGUGAGAACCGGUCUCCCUUCCCCGCCCGGUCCCUCGGAUGAGAGAAUAGUGCAUUCGCAGCCCCUGCUACAAACCUGGGAAAGUGUCUUUGGAAGGGGGAAGUAAGGACACAGAAUGGCUGCAUUGCACCUAGACUCCAUGACGGCGGAAAAUCACUGCUGUGGCAGACGUGCAUGUUUUACAAAUUCCAUCUAAAUACAGCCUAUGUCUAGUUCUGCCUUUAUGUGUAAAUGACAAAUUGGGCAUAAGAACUGUGCUUUGCCUUUGUCCCAAAAAGUGGGGUAUGAUGUGGCCGUGUCCUUUUGCUGUAGUCAUGUCCAAAUAUGGCAAAAUAUUGCAACAAAAUAUUGCAGUUUAUUAAAAUUUGUUGUCCGUCGUGACCCCGUG
ensembl:lncRNA